ACUAUCUCUUUCUACUUUCUGACGUGUCCACAUAAACGGAGAUGUGAGACCGCACGCUCUAGUUAUCAUGUGUCUAUGGAAUAUAUAUUUUUUUAAUUAUUUCUAACUUUUAUAGUAAAGCUUUAUAGUAAAUUUUAUUACUAUUUUCACUUCAUUCCCAGUGCAGAUAUAGAGUGCGAAUGUAAACUGCAUUAUUCACGAAUUUUCAUCAUGGUUCUAUGUAAUAGUGAAUGUGUGGAGAAGGUAGCACAGUAUCUAGAUAUUCUUCCGGAAAAAUUAGAGUUUUCUGACAAAAAUGUAUUAUUUGCUUUAAAAAAUGAAAAAAAAUCUCCACUUCUCCAAGGUUUUAACACCAUUAUACAAAUGCUAGCAACAAAUUCAAAAUGUACUGAUAUAUUUGGUAAAGACAAGGAAUCACAAGCUCGAUCGCAGCAAUGGUUAGAAUAUAUCACAGUCUGUGUCAAUCAUAUGGAUUUUCCUCUUAAUGCCAAGAGAAUAUUGAAUGAAUUAAAUACAGCAUUAAUAGGUGUCACAUAUUUAGCUGGCAUAGAGAAGACCAUUGCAGAUAUUACGUUAUAUUAUAUUCUUCAUUCUAUAAUGAAAAAAUUAAGCCAUCAAGAUAAGGCGCAAUAUGUUCAUGUGUCAAGGUGGUUCGAUAAUGUUCAACAAGAAGAAAAAUUGAGACGGGAACUGGAUUUGAUUUCCUUUGAUUUAAUGCAUAUAUUCCUAUAAUUAAGUCAGAAUACUUUGUGCGUUCGAAACUAGCUAUGUUUACUUCUUAUUACCAAGGUAUAUAAUAAUUAACACACACUUUUCUAUUGUAACAAGAUUCACUCUUUGAUGAAUAUCUAAUAUUUAAAGCUCCUGGAUACUUGCUGUCCUUUGAUGACAGAAGUGAGGAAAAUCAUGUCAAUAUAUAUGACGAUAUAUGUGGAAAUAAAAGAAUAUACGCACAAAAUAUCCAAGAAAAUACAUUUUCCAGCGACUUUCCCAAAAUUUAGGUAUUAAAACUUAUUUAUAGGAUUUUUUGAAGUUGCUGAUUACGAAUCUGAUUACGAUCAGAAUUAGAAGACUUUCAAAAUCUAAGAAGGCACACUCAAUAUGGAGGACCGAAAUUGCAGCGAAUCAACCACAUCACUUCAAAUUUGGUAUCCUAGAGUUUUUGGGGUUGCUGAUUACGAAUUUUGAGUCAAAAUAGAAAAUUUUCCAAAAUCAAAGAUGGCGAUCCAAUAUGGCGGACUGAAAUCGCAGCAAAUCAAGCAAUUCUUUUCAAAUGUGGUAUAUAGAGGAGAGGGUUUUCAGGACGCUGAUUACGCGAAUGUGGGGUCGAAAUUGAAAAAUUACAAAAUUCGAAAUGUUGGAUACAAAAUAGUGGAUCAAACAUGCAAAAACUCAAUGUCUAUGGCUUUUAAUGCUUCCGAGUACAAAUUAUGAAAUGUGAAAUUGCGAAAACGAAUCAGAGGGAUU